rnacentral:rRNA from 1 species
UACAGAGGGUGCGAGCGUUGUCCGGAAUCACUGGGCGUAAAGGGCGCGUAGGCGGCUUGAUAAGCGUGCGGUGAAAGCCCGGGGCUCAACCCCGGGUCGGCCGUGCGAACUGUCGAGCUGGAGCACUGUAGAGGCAGGUGGAAUUCCGGGUGUAGCGGUGGAGUGCGUAGAGAUCCGGAAGAACACCGGUGGCGAAGGCGGCCUGCUGGGCAGUGGCUGACGCUGAGGCGCGACAGCGUGGGGAGCAAACAGG